UACGUAGGGUGCAAGCGUUAAUCGGAAUUACUGGGCGUAAAGCGUGCGCAGGCGGUUUUGUAAGACAGAGGUGAAAUCCCCGGGCUCAACCUGGGAACUGCCUUUGUGACUGCAAGGCUAGAGUACGGCAGAGGGGGGUGGAAUUCCGCGUGUAGCAGUGAAAUGCGUAGAUAUGCGGAGGAACACCGAUGGCGAAGGCAACCCCCUGGGCCUGUACUGACGCUCAUGCACGAAAGCGUGGGGAGCAAAC
rnacentral:rRNA from 1 species